GUUUUCCAGUCACAUCCCAGGAGCCCUAAAUACAUCCAGAUAAGGACGAACUAAUUCCUGUGCCCCAGCCCCCAGAGGCAUUCUCUUGAUCCCGUCUGGCACAUCAGAGGCCAUGGGAAGUGCUUUUGGAUCUCCCUACGCACUGCCAUCUGCCUUGGAGACCCCCUAGGCAGCCCCAUCUUUCCUCUGAGACCUGAGCCACCCGGGACCCCAACACCCCGGGGUGAUCGGCUGCGGCCUGGGUGAAGCCUACUCGCCUCAAGCGCACGGGUGUCCUCACAUCCUCACGGAGAUGAGCGGAAGUGUGCGGCCCUCUCCGGCUCGUUCGGCUCAGCCAGCCCAGCCAAGCAAACCUCGCCCAGGGCCCUGUCUCCUGGCUGAGGCUUCUCAUGGUCACCGGACCUCUAUUCCAUCACAAAUCCUUCGGCUCUCAUCUUCCAAACUCAUCCGGAAUGGAACCUCCUCUGACACCACCAUGGCCACCGCCCUGCCCUGAGCCACCGUGGUCUCUUGCCCGGGGAGACCCAGGUAGCCUCCUGACCGGCCUUCCUCCUCCCACUUCUUCCCCCACUGCCUCUUCUCCAUAGUGGGCCCUGUAAGCCCCAUCCCAUCAUCCCUCUGCUCAAAGCCCAGGGCUCCUGCUUCACAGAGAGCAAAAGGCAAUGCCCUUAACAUAGCUUGCAAUGCCUUGCUCACACUG
rnacentral:lncRNA from 1 species